GUGGGGAAUUUUGGACAAUGGGCGCAAGCCUGAUCCAGCAAUGCCGCGUGUGUGAAGAAGGCCUUCGGGUUGUAAAGCACUUUUGUCCGGAAAGAAAUGGCCUGGGUUAAUACCCCGGGUCGAUGACGGUACCGGAAGAAUAAGCACCGGCUAACUACGUGCCAGCAGCCGCGGUAAUACGUAGGGUGCGAGCGUUAAUCGGAAUUACUGGGCGUAAAGCGUGCGCAGGCGGCGAUGCAAGACAGAUGUGAAAUCCCCGGGCUCAACCUGGGAACUGCAUUUGUGACUGCAUGGCUAGAGUGCGUCAGAGGGGGGUGGAAUUCCGCGUGUAGCAGUGAAAUGCGUAGAUAUGCGGAGGAACACCGAUGGCGAAGGCAAUCCCCUGGGCCUGCACUGACGCUCAUGCACGAAAGCGUGGGGAGCAAACAGGAUUAGAUACCCGGGUAGUCC
rnacentral:rRNA from 1 species